rnacentral:rRNA from 1 species
ACGCUCGACACCUACUGGAGGCAGCAGUUGGGAAUAUUGGACAAUGGAGGAAACUCUGAUCCAGUGACGCCGCGUGAAGGAAGAAGGUCUUCGGAUUGUAAACUUAUUUUGUCAGGGAAGAAAAAUGACUGUACCUGAAGAAAAAGCACCGGCUAACUACGCGCAAGCAGCCGCGGUAAUCUGAGCGGGCUGGCAAGGC